AUCCGUCGAUUUUUGAAAUCGUGAGGGUUCAAGUCCC
rnacentral:tRNA from 1 species